rnacentral:rRNA from 1 species
UACGUAGGAGGCAAGCGUUGUCCGGAAUCAUUGGGCGUAAAGCGCGUGUAGGCGGCUUGGUAAGUCCGCUCUGAAAGCCCGGGGCUCAACCCCGGGAGGCGGGUGGAUACUGCUGGGCUCGAGUCCGGAAGAGGAGUGUGGAAUUCCUGGUGUAGCGGUGAAAUGCGCAGAUAUCAGGAGGAACACCAAUGGCGAAGGCAGCACUCUGGGACGGUACUGACGCUGAGACGCGAAAGCUAGGGGAGCAAACGGG